rnacentral:tRNA from 1 species
GGGCGCGUAGCUCAAUUGGCAGAGCAAGGGACUCUUAAUCCCUAGGUUCGGGGUUCGACUCCCCGCGCGCUCACCA